rnacentral:lncRNA from 1 species
AUAGAGAGGGAAAGGGAGACGAAACGAAAUUAGAAAACUAUGAAGCCGUCCUCGAGCUAUGAAAGAGAGCAUAGAAGUCAGAACACCAAAAAUUAGAUCUUGAAAAUCAAGACGAGCAGUGACUAUUGACGGUAAGCCAACGUUGAGGAAUACAACAUCAAAAACGACUAAACUCUGACCCAACCAAGAAGAUGCAGUUCCUAACAUCAGCUGAAAUCUAAGGAAGAAGAUGAGCAGUCAAUAACCUACAAUGCCGUGAGAAUCAACCG